GAUGAACGCUGGCGGCGUGCUUAACACAUGCAAGUCGAACGGAGUUUAAGAAGGAAGCUUGCUUUCAUUUUAAACUUAGUGGCGGACGGGUGAGUAACGCGUGAGGAACCUGCCCUUCAGUGGGGAACAACAACUAGAAAUGGUUGCUAAUACCGCAUAAUGUCGGAGAGCCGCAUGACAUUCCGACCAAAGGAUUUAUUCGCUGAAGGAUGGCCUCGCGUCCGAUUAGAUAGUUGGUGAGGUAACGGCCCACCAAGUCUACGAUCGGUAGCCGAACUGAGAGGUUGAUCGGCCACAUUGGGACUGAGACACGGCCCAGACUCCUACGGGAGGCAGCAGUGGGGAAUAUUGGGCAAUGGGCGAAAGCCUGACCCAGCAACGCCGCGUGAAGGAUGACGGUCUUCGGAUUGUAAA
rnacentral:rRNA from 1 species